CCUACGGGAGGCAGCAGUGAGGAAUAUUGGUCAAUGGGCGGGAGCCUGAACCAGCCAAGUCGCGUGAGGGAAGACGGUCCUAUGGAUUGUAAACCUCUUUAGGCGGGGAGCAAUGCCGGGCACGUGUGCCCGGCGGGAGAGUACCCGCAGAAUAAGCAUCGGCUAACUCCGGGACAGCAGCCGCGGUAAUACGGAGGAUGCGAGCGUUAUCCGGAUUUGUUGGGUUUAAAGGGUGCCUAGGCGGAUUUUUAAGUCAGCGGUCAAAUGUCCGGGCUCAACCCGGGCCGGCCGUUGAAACUGGGGAUCUGUGGUGGGCGAGAAGUAUGCGGAAUGCGUGGUGUAGCGGUGAAAUGCAUAGAUAUCACGCAGAACUCCGAUUGCGAAGGCAGCAUACCGGCGCCCGACUGACGCUGAGGCACGAAAGCGUGGGGAUCGAACAGGAUUAGAUACCCUUGUAGUC
rnacentral:rRNA from 1 species